UCUCCGCUUUGGCUUUCUGACUCUCUCUGCCCGGGUACUCUCUUACUCUCUUAUUCUCUGCUCUCUUACUCUCUCUUGAUUGAGACUUGAUCAUUUAUCAUGCAAUCGAAUGCGAAUACCCAAGGUCGAUUAGAAUUUGAAAUCGUAAAAUGCCGAUAAGAAUAUUGGGGUUAGGUAUUGGAGAAUUGGAGUUUAGAGUUGAAUUCCAUCAAGUUUCUGUGUGAAUAGAUGUUAAUGCAAUCUUUUCGGGUAAUGGAUGCUAUAAUUUCAAUUUUUCUGCAUGUCAAAAGAUUUUAUUAGGAUGCCUUCUCUAAUGGUGAAAGUUUUUUGGGAAUGUAACGGUGAUAGGCUAUGUGGUUUUGCUCAAGUUAAUAUGCAAAAUCUGCAGCAGGCAAUUUCUUCACGGGAAACGAUGUGAAUCGAACACGCAGCCUUCUGAAUCAAACCUAAGUCUGAAUAGCGCUUAAUGGAUUGACGAAAACAUUCAAAACCCUAACCCCUAAUUCCCGGCGCUUAAUGGAUUUUUCCAUUUUACAAUCCUGAAUCAAAUUUUCUCUUUCUUCCCUUCAGCAUGAAAUGGCAUCUAUCUGGACUCUCCAAUUUCAUUUCUCCCCUAGUGUCCCGGUAAAUACCCUCAUAUGUUCUCUCCGCUUUUUUUUUGUUCCACUCUUAAAACUCUCUAUUUCAGUAACAUUUUUUUUUCCUAAAAUCUGAAUCUUAAAAUUAUGGUAGUAGCCGUCAUGUAUGAACGAAAAGCACAAAUCCCUUCAAAUGCAGCUGUAUUUAGGACCGAAUUCUGGCGCAGACAUGGCAAUCUAAACUGGAAUCGGGUAGGAAUCUAUCAAAAGUUGAUUUCAAGGCCAAUUGGAGCUUCUUUGAACUCGGAUAAGAAUCAAAGUGCCUAAGAUGAGGUCGCUUAUGAGAUAGUUCCCACGGUAGAUUCCACAAACCUAAUUGGCAAAAAUUUCAGGGAAUGAUUAAUUUUUUGCCUCGUCGGGUAUUCAUGAUAAUAUUUUCCUCCCCUUGUUUCCAAUUACAACACCCACUGUUUUGGUUUAUGAUAUCUUUCAUAUAACUUACUAUGGAGAGAAAACCUGUGAAUAAACAGAACUUUAGCCGGAAGUUGUUAGAAGAUUCAUGUGUUUGAUUUAUGAGAUUUGAGGAUGGGGUUUCUCAUUUCUGUGGUGGGAAAGUUAGAAUAUUAAGUUGCUUCUUGUUUCUGGCAUUUAAAUCUGCAAAAUAAUGAAUAGAUUCAUGGGUUUUUGCUUUCUGCCUUUAGAUGAAACAACGUGUAGGAAACAACAUUGCAACUGGAUUAUGCAUAGCUAUUGCUCUUUUGCCUGUUGCUGUUAGAGCCUGCAUGGUGACAAAGUCGGGGAAAAGCCGACCUGGCUCCGUAGCUCAUCUUGUCAGAGGUGGCCAAUUGAUAUCUGAUAGAGGAGGCAUGCAUGAUUCCAGUCCUUAACACCUUUCACAUACCCAUGUUUUUUUAUAAUUUGUAGUUUAUAUGUUUCUUGGAUCUAGUCUGAUUUGUUAAAAUUUUCCAUCCUCCUUAUAUAAUCAUCAUGUCUAGAAUGGUAGAAAUUAUAUUACUUUACCUGAUUUUAGAUUUAUCAUUUGAUAAUUUUGUUCAGAUGCGCUGAUGUUGGAAUCAGGUUUCAGGUGUUCUGCAUGCCAAGUCUUAUUUGUUAAUAAUUUCCAUCUCAUUAUGUAAUCAUCAUAUCCACGUUGGUAGAAGUUAUAUUACUCUGCCCAAUUUUAGUUUGUAUCAUUUUGAUAAUUUUGACUCGGUUUGGCCCGGAUCGUUUUAGUUGUUCAUUCUUCGAUAUUGCUUUAGAUGUGCAUACUCUAGGUUUCUGUUUAUUUCACAAGAAACUCCUGGAAAAGCAAUUGCCCGUAUUGUGCUCUAUGACAUUCUUCUCAUGAUGGUGGCAGCCUGCAGAUGUUCUGCAGUGGUCUUUCUGAAGAACAGGGCAUUUAAUUUAUUAAAGUAUCAUUAGUUAUGUCAUAAGCUAGAAACUGUACUUCUCGUUGGAGCUCGUUUGAUCUGAAAAGGAUGCGAAUCAUACCAUUUUAUGUUUUUGGAAAGGUACAGAAAUUGAAAAGUUGUAACUUGUGACCACUUUGUUUCUCUGCUGUUAUAAAGUCGCAAUUGGUCUUGAAGCACACUCGAGAUACUCAUAGCUACAUGCUGUUAUUUGUUAUGCACAUACUUCUUAAAGCCCAUAUUUGGUUGUCUAGAUGUUUUUUCCAAAGGUAAAAUUGCAAAGAUGAUGGGCACAAUUCUCUAGGUCUGAUGCUAUUUAUUCAGUUUAAUGUGUGUACUGUGUUGUCUUGGUGUGCUUAUUUUUUGGAUUGAUAGAAUUUUCUAUACAUUUCAUGGCAUCGUUAAUUCCACGAAACUGAAAUCUUGGGCUUUGUAAAACCAACCAAAUAAUUUGGAGUUGGCAGAACCAUCAAUAAGAGAUGCAUUUGGUUCAUGUGUUCAACAAGGAGCAAAUGGUGUGAUAGCAAGCCCUUUUUUUCUCUUUCCUGGACGGCACUAGCAUCAGGAUAUUCCUUUGAGUGCUGAUAUUGCAAAAGAGUAUCCUCGUAUACCAUACAUCAUAACUGCUCCUCUUGGCUUGCACAAGCUCCUUGUGGAUGUUGUAAACAACAGGAUAAAACAUUGCUCAAGCCAUAUAGAAGGAGAUGCAGAUGAAUGUGCAAUUUGUGCUGGAACCCAAAA